UGUUAUUUGGCAAUUUCUUGUUGUUAUUGUUUGACUUUUUCAAUUUAGAGGCACAUCACAUACUAUUAUAAUCAGAGACUUUAAUACCAUGGUAUCUAGAAACAACUUACCAGAAGAAGAUAGCCCAUCCAGCAGUUUGAGUUUGUUGACUUGAGACAAGGCACAGCUGAGAGAGCAAAGAUAUAAAUCUCUCCAUGAAGAUGCUGCGCCUUCCAAGAAGAUAUAAUGAAGUCCCAUACACAGGAAGGUCCAACACAGCUUCCUCCAGUGUUGUGGCUCAUUUCUGAUGAAAUCCUCCUGAGUGAAAUAAAGAGAGCAGAUGAGUAAAUGACAAAGAUGAGGAUGUUAUUUCCUUCUCCCUUUGUUAGUUGCAAAAUGUGCCAUAUGGACAUAACACAAUGUGCCUUACAGGAAUGAGAGUUUCUGAUAAAGGUUUUUUGUUUUGUUUUGUUUUGUUUUUUUAAAAGAGGGACACAAAGUAGUCAUGAUGAAUGAACUCCAAGCAUGAGACGAUGAAUGAAAUUUGGAAUAAACAUCCUUUCAG